CGAAUGAACUCGUAAGAAAAACGGAGGAAAAUUCUUGUUCUUCGCUGUCUCUGUCUCUCACUCUCUCAGACGCUUGUAAACACGUAUGGUAUAACAAAAGGAAACACAACGAAUCACUACUGGGCCAAAGACUAACGCAGGAGGUAGACAGAAGUAGAAGUAGACAAUAGAAGUUCGUAGAGUUCUUAGAUGUCUCUGUUUUUCACUACCUUAGACGCUUGUAAACACGUGCGAGAAAGUAUACAGCAAAGCGAGGCACAGCGAAUCAAUACUGGGCCAAAGACUAACGCAGGAGGUAAGCAGUGAAGUUGGUAAUGCUUUCUUGUCUGUUUUUCACUGCCAUAGACGCUUGUAUACACGUGCGAGAAAGUAUACAACAAAACGAGGCACAGCGAAUCAAUACUGGGCCAAAGACUAACGCAAGAGGUAAGCAGUGAAGUUGGUAAUGCUUUCUUGUCUCUGUUUUUCACUGCCUAAGCCUCUUGUAUACACGGGCGAGAAAGUAAACAGCAAAGCGAGGCACAGCGUAUCACUAAUAGCCCGAAGACUGACGCAAGAGGUAUCAAGAAACGGCAAUUAGAUGCUAGUUCUUUGCAGCUUCUCUGUCUCUGCUUAUUACAGCCUCAGCCCCUUAUAAAACACGCGCGAACCGAGGCGAA